CGGAACGGGUGAGUAACACGUGGGCAACCUGCCCAAAAGAGGGGGAUAACACUUGGAAACAGGUGCUAAUACCGCAUAACCAUAGUUACCGCAUGGUAGCUAUGUAAAAGGUGGCUAUGCUACCGCUUUUGGAUGGGCCCGCGGCGCAUUAGCUAGUUGGUGGGGUAAAGGCUUACCAAGGCAAUGAUGCGUAGCCGAACUGAGAGGUUGAUCGGCCACAUUGGGACUGAGACACGGCCCAAACUCCUACGGGAGGCAGCAG
rnacentral:rRNA from 1 species